UUAAUUGGCUCACGUGAUGAACAGCUGAGGCUCGUGAGAGAGAAAAAAAGACGACACUAACGAGGCAUCCUGAAGUUUUCUGCUCAGUGGAUUUUCAGGAGUUUUUUCACAGACUUUUGUGUUUAAACUUUGUCUCUGGAUUAUUUCUAAGGUGCUCUGUAAGAAGACAUGUUUGUAAAUAACUGAACUCACCAUUGAGAGGGAUUCAAAAACGCAGCUGCUGCUAGUUUAUCCAGCUCGACCCUGGAGUUUCGUCUGGACUCUGGAAACACCUGGACACUGAAAACUACAACCGGACAGCGCUGUGAGCCACCUGCGCAUGCUCAGAGCUCCUCUGGCAACUUUGGAUUACCACCGGACCUGUGACGUCACUGCAGCCUCGCUUGCUCGUUAAGGAGAGCUAUGGAUGCGUGCACCACUCUGUGGACUUCACAUCUGUAAAAAGGGUUCAACAUAACUACAUGAGCUGACACAGAUGGAAUUACUCCAGUGGCUUCCUGCAGGACUGGCUGGCUCAUUCACAACCACUGGGUCCAGCAUGUCCCCACAGUGCCAGAAAUUCUCACUGAAAGAUUGGGCUAACGGAUCGCCAGAGAUCAUCUCAGGCUGCACAAUACUCCUGCAUUUAUGAAAAAUAAAAGAUUGAUUCUUCUCUC